AGAGGGAGAGGGGGUUGUGAGUGACAAUUUAACUGUAUGUGUGACAAAGGGUAGCAGACCAGUAAAUUGUUGAGGGGAAGGGUGAGUGUAGUGCAACUGAGUGAUAAACCUGGGGAGGGAAGAGGGACAGUGCAGAAGAGUGUGUGUUGCGGGGACGGGGGGGGUUGUAAUAGGUGGUGUCUGAGUGUUUGGUUUGGAGAAGAGGAAGAGUGAAUAUGUGGGUUUGUGUGUGUGAAAAAGGAGGGAGAGUGGAUGCGUGUGUGUUCGCUUCACAUGGGAGAGGCAAGGGCAGUGUGUCACAAACGUGGGGAGGGGAUGGUGUGUGCUUGUGUGUGUCUCUGCAACGAAACUGUGAUGGAGAAUAGGACCGGUGCAGUAAAGUGUACGUACGUAAAAGACAUGGCGAUUAGAAGAGUGAAACUGACUGCGAAGUUGAGUGAGGUUGAAUAAAUAUUCACAAAUGUUAUCACUGUCGCCGACUUCCUCAGGUUUUCUUGUAGCUCAAAUCUUGACUGGUUUUCUUCCCCUUAAUUUUUCGGGUACUGUCACUACAUUUUAAAACAAUCAUACCAUCCUCUCCUUGCCUAGCUUUACAGCGGGAGGGUAGAAAUUUAGGGAGGCUGACGGGUAUUUUCAGAGCGUUCGGGAGGGUGUGCGCCUGCGUCAAAGAGUUGUUACUUUGAUGCGGUAGCUUUUUUUUUCUUCUGAGGGGGGAUUCGCCUUUGGAAGUGCAAGUCUCUCUGUAGGGGAGACCGUGUGUUUGUCCCGUGGCGAUGAGUAAAUUUCAAUACAAAAGGAUUAGAUAAAAGGGGGGAGGGUAAGAGUAUUGUUUUUUUUUUUCCUGAGGGGUGAGAAAUUGAGCGUUUUAUAGAAUGUAGGAGUUUUCGUAGGAUAUCCCACCGCCUCUUUCUGAGAAAAUAAAAAUCGGGAUUUUGAUUGAAAUCUGGGGAUUUUAUUUAUCUGAGAAGAGAAACAAGCUUUUAACAUAUCUUGGACCACGUGCAUUGGAAGCUUCUGUGUCUAGUGGGGUUUGGGCCAGAUAUUUGUUAAAUGUAUGCAUGUGAACAGUUCAAAUUUUGUGGAUUUUAGAACUUGCUUGCCAUUUGUGUUAGUAGUUGCCUACAGAAAUGUAAUUACAAUUUCACUGCCACCACAAUGAAACAUCUUAAACUACAGAAAGCACCACACCAGUGUAACAAAAAGUCCACAGCCUUUGGAGCCCUGUUGAAUAUCCAUAUGUUUUUAAAAAGUAAUUCACAUAUUUAAGCAAUUACAAAUGCUCCCAGAAAUCUAUUUUUAAGUCAGAAUUGAUUUUUAAAAAUGUUACUAGCUGAGAGAGGUGUUUUGUUUUGACAGAGGAAACCUUUUCAUUUUAUUGUUGUUUUGAACCUUCCUCAAGUACAUCACAGCUUCUGGGGAUGUAAAAAAAAAAAAUCCUCCCGGGGUUUACUGAAGUCCAAAGUCAGGUUGUAGCAUUGUGUAAGUUUCACUGAACAGAGUUGAGGCUGAUGUUUGUGGUGUGAGAGUGUUUCUGACCCCUUUAUAACAGUGUUGAGAUAUUGACUGUACAUCAUAUCUAUUGAUUAAGGGGAUAAGGUACAUUCUCAUACUUCGAAGUAAGUGUGAAGUAAAUUAAUGAACUGCUUUCUUUCUCUGAAGGCUGACGCUUACCAUAAAUGUCGUGUUUCUCCCUGCAAGCCACUCUGAAUGAUUUUAGCGUGUUGAGAAGGCGUGACAGGCCAGCCCAGAAGGAGGAAGGGGUGGGGGAAAGGAGGGAACUCCGUUUAACAAAUAAAAGAGAAUUAACUUCAUUGCUUUGGUCUCCUUCUAUAAUGAUAUUCAUUUUAAAGACCUAAUAUACAGUUGUUCAAAUUUGGGAUUUAAUUCUAAUCAAUACCGUCACCCUCAAAGGUGGAGAAAGAAAGCUUUAGGGAAGACUCCCUUCUAUGAAUAGUUAUUUAUUUUAUCUUUUUAUCCUCCUAUCUCUAGUAGGAAGUGAGGCAAGACUUUUGAAAAGUUAAAAGCUGAUUCUGAGAGUAAACAAACAUUAACCAUUGUUUCCUCAAAAAAUGCAGGAAUUAGAAAAACACGCAUCAUGUGAUUACAAAUUUGAGUAUCUACUUUUAAGAUUGUAUUUAUAUAAAUUCACUUUAGAAUCAUGUAAUUCUGCCUAGGACAAUGGGUCACAAUGUUGGUAUGGAUAUAAUGAGUAUACUGGACUCUUCAGUUUGCAUAAGGUUGACUUGCAGAUUUUCAAAGGUUUGUAUGUGCAUCUUCAUUAUGAAAAAAUAUGUUUUCAUAUAUAUAUGUAUAGUCCCUUUACUCCCACUUUAAAAUCAGGUGUUUAUUUUAUACUAGUAUUGUCAAAGUUUCUUUUUCACCCUACCCCUCACCCCAAAAUAAGUGGUUAGUGUUUGUCCUAAGGCAUAAGACAGAAGAAUUAAAAAGGAAAGGCAAAGAGAAUUAUAUAAUUGACCAAAAAUCGAAACAACAAUAAUCUUGAAACAGUGACCAGCAACCAACCAGACCAACAAUGAAACUGGUCUUAAUGGCAGCUCUUUCUCCGCUUUGCAGAAGUGACUAUUAUUUUUGAAUCCCCCCACAGGAGGAAACAUCUGUAAUCCAUUGUAGGUACAGUCUGUCAGGGAAAGCAUUUCAUAGCACAUCCAGUUCAGUUUACCUUUUGUGAUACUGAUGACUGCUCUUGAGUAUUAAACUGUAAUAAUA
rnacentral:lncRNA from 1 species